UGGCGGACGGGUGAGUAACAUAUCGGAACGUACCGAGUAAUGGGGGAUAACUAAUCGAAAGAUUAGCUAAUACCGCAUAUUCUCUGAGGAGGAAAGCAGGGGACCUUCGGGCCUUGCGUUAUUCGAGCGGCCGAUAUCUGAUUAGCUAGUUGGUGGGGUAAAGGCCUACCAAGGCGACGAUCAGUAGCGGGUCUGAGAGGAUGAUCCGCCACACUGGGACUGAGACACGGCCCAG
rnacentral:rRNA from 1 species